AUUGAACGCUGGCGGCAUGCUUUACACAUGCAAGUCGAACGGUAACAGGCCUUCGGGUGCUGACGAGUGGCGAACGGGGGAGUAAUGCAUCGGAACGUACCCAGAGGAGGGGGAUAACGCAGCGAAAGCUGUGCUAAUAUCGCAUGUGAUCUGAGGAUGGAAGCGGGGGACCGCGCAGCAAUGUUUGGCCUCGCGCCUUUGGAGGUGCCGAUGUCGGAUUAGCUAGUUGGUGGGGUAAAGGCCUACCAAGGCGACGAUCCGUAGCUGGUCUGAGAGGACGACCAGCCACACUGGGACUGAGACACGGCCCAGACUCCUACGGGAGGCAGCAGUGGGGAAUUUUGGACAAUGGGCGCAAGCCUGAUCCAGCAAUGCCGCGUGCGUGAAGAAGGCCUUCGGGUUGUAAACCGCUUUUGGCAGGAACGAAACGGUGUCCGCUAAUACCGGGCGCUAAUGACGGUACCUGCAGAAUAAGCACCGGCUAACUACGUG
rnacentral:rRNA from 1 species